GGAGAGGACUCGUCUGACAUUUUCUCUGUUUCUCGUCAGUUAUACCAAAGAAAAGGCCAACAACUGCGACAGAUUUUGAUUUCAGGAGUGUCUUAAAAACCCUCUAAAACAGAGGAGAAGUUCCAAGAAAAUGUCUAACGGGAGCUGCUGACAGAGAUAGAAAACACAGGAGCUGGAGGCCGUGAAGAUACAGAUCCAUGAUAUUGUGGAGAAGCAGGCCCAGCUGAGCGAGUGGAGAGCUGUGCUGGAAAUAUUCAGGGGUUGAUGCUCAUAAGUCCAGGUGUAAGACAUGAUCCAGGCCCUGGGCGACGACCUCUCUCCAUCCGCCGCCUCCGGUCUUCAGGAUCUCCACCAGAACCCGAUUCGCUCCACUUCGCGAGACAGAACAAAACGCUGUGAUCAUCAGAGACUCCAUCGUCCGGCACGUUUGCGCUAUGUUAGCUGAAGGAGCUGGAGGCCGUGAAGAUACAGAUCCAUGAUAUUGUGGAGAAGCAGGCCCAGCUGAGCGAGUGGAGAGCUGUGCUGGAAAUAUUCAGGGGUUGAUGCUCAUAAGUCCAGGUGUAAGACAUGAUCCAGGCCCUGGGCGAAGACCUCUCUCCAUCCGCCGCCUCCGGUCUUCAGGAUCUCCACCAGAACCCGAUUCGCUCCACUUCGCGAGACAGAACAAAACGCUGUGAUCAUCAGAGACUCCAUCGUCCG